rnacentral:rRNA from 1 species
AGUGACGAUAGCCUAGGAGAUACACCUGUACCCAUGCCAACACAGAAGUUAAGCCCUAGAACGCCGGAAGUAGUUGGGGGUUGCCCCCUGUGAGAUAGGGAAGUCGCUUAGCU